UGGACGUCGAGGCGGGCGGUUCUCUGAGCAUUGACGUGGACGCAGAGCCGUCUCAGCAGUCCUGUCAGGGUCUAUGAAGGUUCCUGAAUAAUGACCGAGUGACAUCAUAUGUUAUACAAGGUUCAAAGAGAGGAGCCAUAUUCUCCAUCCAUCCAUUCAUAGGUUUCCUGACAAUGUUCAUGGAGAUGUUGAUGAAAAUCCCAGUCAUCAGCCCAUCACUGCUUUCUCUUUGAACUCGGCUUUAGGAAGGAGACACACAAUGAAUGCUCUAGCUCUGUUGUUCCCAGACUGGGUCCAGAUUGUGGCGAUGACUUCCUAUGAGUCCUCUGACUCACUUUCGUCUGUAUCAGAGAUCAACAGUUUGUUGAUCUAAUGGGUUUCACUAAUCCACGGGACAGCAUGCAAGGUAGCAGAUAGAGCAAUGAGGAAAGCAUAUAAUUGCUAUUGCAGAGUGACUUCAUGUUGCUCUUAAACGAUGAAGCAGUGAAGCAUCACAUGAUAGAUGCAAAGGUAAUUGUGGGUAAUGUGUGGAGCUGUUUCAUACAGCUGCAGAGUGUGUGCUCCGUAAUUGGCAGACAAAGCAGUGACCCUUGGUGGUUGUUGGGCUCCCCAUGAGAACAGCCUCAGGCGUUCCGACCGAACUUUCAUCUCACUCCAGCAACGCAGAACAUACUGGCUUCACAGAAGCAUAUUCAUACACCAACCUCAUCUGUGGGGAGAAAUCAGAUGGGAGAAGAGAAAUUAAUUUUUAAACAUUUACUUUUUCUCACCAGUAGUUCUUUGUUCGGUUUCAUUGCCUCGGCUGUCUGCGCUCUCCCAGUAAAACUUCAAAAAAGAUCUCAGCAAUGCAAAAUCAUUUAAACAUUUUCUUAUGAGUGCUGGUAAAUUAAUAUAGGCGGCUGAGGCACAGAAGAAUCGGAAGAAACAAACACUGUGAAGAUGCUGGAAUCCAAGGAAAGUGCAGGACUGAGGACAGAGUGACUUAUUUAACAUGUGAGAACAUACAAGCAUGUCUGGAAUAGAUUACUGGAUUGUUAACAAGUGAGAGUACAAGAAGACUGUCGCUUAUCAUCUUAUACUAAAAAGGGUUAAGGAGCUGAUGAGUGGAGCAAGUGAGUGUGACAGUACUGCAGAGGCACAGCAGCUAACAUGGAUUUGUGCACCAAUCACCGCUUUCUGGAUUUGAAAAAACUUUGACUUGCUAACAAUGACCUUCUCUGAUUCAGUUAUUAUAUAUACACAAGUCCUUGACACAGCCUCCAGAGUUCGAUUCCCAAGUCUGGGACGCCUGCUGA